rnacentral:rRNA from 1 species
UACAGAGGCCCCAAGCGUUACUGAGAAUCACUGGGUUUAAAGGGUGCGUAGGUGGCGCGUUUAAGUCCGUUGUGAAAUCCCUGGGCUCAACCCAGGAAUUGCUUCGGAUACUGGCGUGCUUGAGGCCGGUAGGGGUCACUGGAACUGACGGUGGAGCGGUGAAAUGCGUAGAUAUCGUCAGGAACGCCGAUGGUGAAGACAGGUGACUGGGCCGGAACUGACACUGAGGCACGAAAGCGUGGGGAGCGAACGGG